AUUUAUUUACACAAUUUAAAAUACACAAAUACAGUGGCAAUACAAAUGAGGAGAAAAAUCUUACAGGGCAAGAAGAUUUCCCAUAAUUCCAUUUGAGAGAGUUUGCUAGCACAGUGUGACGUGACGUGUGGCUCUGCAGUCACAGACCGAAUGAAACCAGGUCAUGAAAACGUUAAAUCCAAGAACAGAAAAUAAAAAUAAAGAAUAAAAGACAGUUGGUUGAUCCCAAACAAAGUGUACUCGUGUCUUUUUUUUCUUCUUCUUCUUCUCCACUCUUAAGUGUAACUAACACCAGUAAGGGACCAUCCCCAAAUAAGUUUGUGAGCGUUUUUGUAUUUUUUCACGUAUUUUUUUUUGUUGGCGUUUUUAUAUUUUUCAGACCACCAGAAGUGAAAAGAACUAGUUCACACAUCGCCCUGCUAAGCACUAACCUUUUCUUCAGCACCCUCGCACUACAGAGACAGACAGAGGCUAUGUAAAAAUGGAGCUUCGCCAUCACUAGAAACAUCCUAUAUACACAUGACAACAGAACUGAAAGAGUUUUUUCACCACUAAACCUCCCCAUUUCCCCCCACAGACUACAAGAAAAAGGUCUAAUGCUCUAAUAGGCUGAAUGAUAUGACGCGGCAAGCCGGCCGUUUCAACUCCGUCAGGACUCAACACCAGGAAGUCCAGGAGCUACAGAUUUGGAAGAAAUAAUAAUAAUAAAAAAAAAUUAAGUAAAGCCAUUGUAAUAAAUUCAGUACGCUUUUAAAAACAAACCAAAAAAAAAAAAUCAAACCCCAAAAUAACCCAAUUGAGUUCAAAAGUCUUUUUUAAAAUAUAGGCUUGAAGAGGACCCCCCCCCCCCCCCCCCUCUUCCCAAAGAAAAAGAGGCUGAUUCCAAAAUAGACAUGGCUUUCUUUUAAUGAGAGCUGACGGCUGGUGCUCAGCCAUCCCUGCUCAAAGAACACGUCCCAUGAAGCAGUCAGAGGGAAACAGGACAGAGCGAGGAAUAAACGUGAGAGAGAGAAAGAGAGAGAGAGAAAACAGGACAAACAACAGACAAAUAAAAUCAGAAGGAGAAGAAAGAGAGACAGAGAGGAAACUAGAGAGAGGGGUAGAGAGAGAGAGAGAGAGAGAGAGAGAGAGAGGGAGGGAGAGAGAGAGAGCCCUUGGGGAUUAAGUGACUUCAGAUCAAGCUGAGGCGCUGAGCAUCCUCCAGUCACAGGGGUAGUCAUGGAGACCGAGGGGAGUGAGGGCUGUUCCACUCCCGCUGUGAGUCUCCCCUCCCCAGAUCGCCUUCCACAGGGAGGGGGAAAUUGGUGCAGGGUUAAAACCAGAACGAAAAACAGCAACGUCAACAUUGGACAUUUCUACAAUGCAGGCAUUUCACAGCUUUCCAACAGCAUUAAAAACAUAAAGAGAAGCUUCAUGGGGGGGGGGGGGACGCUCACCGCCCGGGAACAGAAACAACCAGGCGCUUAUAGAACUGAGAAAGUAGAACAAAACAGCUGACUGUGAGAACAGGGAAAUAAUAGCUUUUUCGGUGGUUUCCCCCUUUUACAUAAAAAUAAACAAAAAACAAACGCAUUUCUGCAUGUUUUGCUAAUGGAUCCACUGCACUAGAGUGUGGCAUACAGGCAUGUUGGGGCUGGCAUUCUCACCCCACCCCCUCGUAUUUCGUAUUGGCGAUGCAGGGAUUUUCAGACAGACAGUCUCCGGCCUGGAGUUCACGGUUCAAAUAAAACAAAUACGAAAUAAAAAAAAACAUUGACACGAGUUUUUCGUGUCACAAGCCUGAAAAAAAACGACCCCGCCAACAGAAGCUUCCGUCCAAGCACUCACCGCAACAGGUAGAAACUGCUUGAAGUUUGCCUUUGAUACAACACAGAGCGGGAGGGUAAUAAUUGGGUGGAAAAAUGCCAUUGGUGCAGCCGCAGUCCCAGGUCUGCCCCAGAGCCAUCAGCCUCUGUGCCUGGGAGGGGGCAAAAAGAGAGGGAGGGCGGGGGGGGGGGGGGGUGUUCAGGGCAAUGGGGGCAAGACUGAGGAGGACAGAGGGACGCUAGUGUGCUGCCUCUACAUCGCUGGGGGGCUUUUUGAGGUCAUGAGAGGACGGGGGGGGGGGGGGGGGUUACCCCACUGACAGAGGAGGGCACUUCCUCUUAGCGUAUGCCAGGGUGGCAAAGGCAACGACGGCCAACGGACAUCCACCUACAUGAUGGGCGAGGCUCAGGCAAAGAGCAGUGGAGCAAAAAACAAAUGUGUCAAGUUUGUGUGUUCAGGUGUGUGUGUGUGUGUGUGUGUGUGUGUGUGCGUGUGUGUAUGUAUGUGUGUGUGUUCAUGUGUGUGCGCGCAAGUCUUGUUCAUGUUCCCCACCAUGAGGGCUAGCAUGACGUAUGGCUAGACAGAGCGGUGUUCGGAAGAAAAGGUGAGAGGACUGAAAGUCUCUGGCCCUUGACUGGCUUGGGUCGCAGAUUCAUGGUUGUGUUUGUGAGUGUGUGCGCACUUUUGUCGUUUUUUGUGUCGAUAUUUUUUUGUUUGGUUUUUCUUCGUUUUUUCCCCGUCUAUCCCGCAACAGAUCGUCGUCGGCUGCUGGAUGUCCUGGUCAAGGUGGUUGGGCCCUCAGGGUGCCGUUGCCCUCGGUGUCAAGUGAAGGGAUGGGAAGGUGGGGUGUGCUGGGGGCGCAGAGGGAGGGGGAGGUCUGGUCUCAUCGAGGUACCGCAGACUGCAGGCCACUGGGGGUGACGCGUGACAGAGCCUUGGGGGGGG
ensembl:lncRNA